AAUACGGAGGGUGCGAGCGUUACCCGGAUUUACUGGGUGUAAAGGGCGUGUAGGCGGUCUUGCAAGUCCGGUGCUAAAGACCGGGGCUCAACCCCGGGGGUGCGCUGGAUACUGUAAGGCUAGACGGUCGGAGGGGGUAGUGGAAUUUCCGGAGUAGCGGUGAAAUGCGCAGAUACCGGAAGGAACGCCGAUAGCGAAGGCAGCUACCUGGACGACAUGUGACGCUGAGGCGCGAAAGCGUGGGGAGCAAACCGGAUUAGAUACCCGGGUAGUCCACGCCCUAAACGAUGAGUGCUGGGUGUCCGGCAUCCGCCGGGUGCCGAAGCUAACGCGUUAAGCACUCCACCUGGGGAGUACGGCCGCAAGGUU
rnacentral:rRNA from 1 species